UACGUAGGGGGCAAGCGUUGUUCGGAAUUACUGGGCGUAAAGGGCGCGUAGGCGGCCUUCUAAGUCAGACGUGAAAUCCCCCGGCUUAACCUGGGAACUGCGUCUGAUACUGGGAGGCUUGAGUAUGGGAGAGGGAUGUAGAAUUCCAGGUGUAGCGGUGAAAUGCGUAGAUAUCUGGAGGAAUACCGGUGGCGAAGGCGGCAUCCUGGACCGGUAUUGACGCUGAGGCGCGAAAGCCAGGGGAGCAAACGGG
rnacentral:rRNA from 1 species